GACGAACGCUGGCGGCGUGCCUAAUACAUGCAAGACGAGCGCAGGAAGCUGACGGAACUCUUCGGAGGGAAGGCAGUGGAAUGAGCGGCGGACGGGUGAGUAACACGUAAGGAACCUGCCUCAAGGAUUGGGAUAACUCCGAGAAAUCGGAGCUAAUACCGGAUAGUUCAUCGGACCGCAUGGUCCGUUGAUGAAAGGCGCUUCGGCGUCACCUUGAGAUGGCCUUGCGGUGAAUUAGCUAGUUGGUGGGGUAACGGCCCACCAAGGCGACGAUGCAUAGCCGACCUGAGAGGGUGAUCGGCCACACUGGGACUGUGACACGGCCCAGACUCCUACGGGAGGCAGCAGUAGGGAAUCUUCCACAAUGGACGAAAGUCUGAUGGAGCAACGCCGCGUGAGUGAUGAAGGUUUUCGGAUCGUAAAACUCUGUUGUAAGGGAAGAACACGUACGAGAGGGAAUGCUCGUACCUUGACGGUACCUUACGAGAAAGCCACGGCUAACUACGUGCCAGCAGCCGCGGUAA
rnacentral:rRNA from 1 species